CAAAUCUCAAAUCCCUAAUUUCCCAUGGCGGCGGUGGAGGCGAAGAAGAUCACCCUUAAGAGCUCCGAUGGCGAGGAGUUCGAGAUCGACGAGCUCGUCGCCAUGGAGUCGCAGACGCUGAAGAACAUGAUCGAGGAUGACUGCGCUGAUGCCGUCAUCCCGCUCCCCAACGUCGCCUCUAAGAUCCUGGCGAAGGUGAUUGAGUACUGCAGGAAGCACGUCGAGGCGGCGCCGAAGCCUGAGUCGGCUGAUGCCGACAAGGAGAACGCGGACUUGAAGGCCUGGGAUGCAGAGUACGUUCAGGUAGAUCAGGCGACGCUCUUCGAUCUCAUCUUGGCUGCGAACUACUUGAACAUCAAAGGACUCCUUGACUUGACUUGCCAGACUGUUGCUGAUAUGAUCAAGGGGAAGACACCCGAGGAGAUCCGCAAAACCUUCAACAUCAAAAAUGAUUUCACCCCCGAAGAGGAAGAAGAGGUUCGCAGGGAGAACCAAUGGGCGUUUGAGUGAUUGUCUGAGUUAGUAAUAAAUGGUGCUUUGUGUAGUUUGAUGGGUUAUGGAAAUGAACUUGGACAUGUUAGUAGGCUAUCUAAAGCAGUAUCUUGACAAUGGUAGUUUUAAGUAAUUUGGGCUGGUUGCUUGUUGGUGAACCUUAUUUUGAUAUAUAUGG
rnacentral:misc_RNA from 1 species